GCAGCCACUCAUUCAAAGAGUGCGUAAUAGCUCACUGGUCGAGUGAUCCUGCGCCGAAGAUUUCCGGGGCUAAAACUUACUACCGAAGCUACGGCAUCAGUAAUGAUGGGUAGGGGAGCUUCCCAUACGGGUUGAAGCAUGACCGUAAGGACAUGUGGACAGUAUGGGAGUGAGAAUGUUGGCAUGAGUAGCGAGAUGUGGGUGAGAAUCCCACAGGCCGUAAACCCAAGGUUUCCAGGGGAAGGUUCGUCCGCCCUGGGUUAGUCGGGACCUAAGCUGAGGCCGAAAGGCGUAGGUGAUGGACAACAGGUUGAUAUUCCUGUACUACCGAUAACCGUUUGAGAGAAGGGAUGACACAGUAGGAUAAGCUAAGCACACUGUUGGUUAUGGGUGCCCAAGCCUUGAGGCAGUCAAAGGAGGCAAAUCCGCUUUGAUAAUGCUGGGAAGUGAUGGGGAGCGAAAUUUAGUAGCGAAGUAGCUGAUUUCACACUGUCAAGAAAAGUCUCUAUCGAGGUUAAAGGUACCCGUACCGCCAACCGACACAGGGGGGUGAGGAGAGUAUCCUAAGGCCAGCGAGAGAUCUGUUGUUAAGGAACUCGGCAAAAUGACCCCGUAACUUAGGGAUAAGGGGUGCCACCAUCAGGUGGCCGCAGAGAAUAGGCCCAAGCGACUGUUUACCAAAAACAUAGGUUUCUGCUAAGUCGCAAGACGAUGUAUAGGAGCUGACGCCUGCCCGGUGCUGGAAGGUUAAGGGGAUCUGUUAGAGCAA
rnacentral:rRNA from 1 species